rnacentral:tRNA from 1 species
GUUAAAGUAGUGUAAUGGAUCAGCAGGGCAGACCGGAUAUCUGUAAGUGCGGGUUCGAGUCCCGCCUGAGGUU